UAGAAUAAGGCCUCAAGGUUUCAAAGGAUUUUUUUUUUUCGCAACUGAGUUAUUCAAGAAUUUUUAAGACAAAGUCAACUUCAACAGAGCAGGACACGCAAUGGAGUGACCAUUAAAGUUUCAGUGCUGCUCUCUGUGCUGCUGUCCAGCUCUUGGCUGAUGCCCUUCUCAAUGACUGGGCCAAACUUUUGGCGAAUGUUUCCAAGCAGCUAAGAGCAACUCUUCAGAAGGCCCAGCGGCAGACAUUCUCCAGGCUCUGAGAAGCCUUGCCCAGCUCAAUCAAACCCAUGGACUGACA